rnacentral:rRNA from 1 species
CAACUUUCAGCAACGGAUCUCUUGGCUCUCGCAUCGAUGAAGAACGCAGCGAAAUGCGAUAAGUAAUGUGAAUUGCAGAAUCCAGUGAAUCAUCGAAUCUUUGAACGCACCUUGCGCCCUUUGGCUAUUCCGAAGGGCAUGCCUGUUUGAGUAUCAU